rnacentral:rRNA from 1 species
UACGGGGGGGCAAGCGUUGUUCGGAAUUACUGGGCGUAAAGGGCUCGUAGGCGGCCAACUAAGUCAGACGUGAAAUCCCUCGGCUUAACCGGGGAACUGCGUCUGAUACUGGAUGGCUUGAGUUCGGGAGAGGGAUGCGGAAUUCCAGGUGUAGCGGUGAAAUGCGUAGAUAUCUGGAGGAACACCGGUGGCGAAGGCGGCAUCCUGGACCGAUACUGACGCUGAGGAGCGAAAGCCAGGGGAGCAAACAGGG